UGAAAUCAGCAUCUUCAAAAAGCUGGUCAGCAGAAGGAAGCAUGAAGUGCUCCAAAAUUUAUUGGUAAACGGGGGCAGUGACGUUGCAUUAUGUUUUCAAAAAACACAAUG